rnacentral:lncRNA from 1 species
AUAACGCUCAACAUCGACGUCCGGUUGUCUACACUUAACUCAAUAACAAACAGCAGGUAUGCAAUAAAUUUAAAAAAAACAUACAAUUUUUUUACCGUUGAUAUUAAUAUAGUUUACACGUACCUAUACUUUAUUAUAUCAAAUCCAAAUUAUAUGUAUAGUUGUCACUAAUUUAGUGUAUUAUAAUAUUAUAUCACCAUAUUUGUAUAAAUAGUCUGAAUAUUCGUUUUAUGUAACAUUACGACGUAUAACAUUAUGAUACCAUUGAUACCCAUAAAUAUUAUAUAAUAGGUAUUACGUACUUACCUAUAUCGCCGAGUACUCGUGUGCAAUAUUAUUGUUUUUAAAAUUGUAUGCGUUUCGUAAUUAUGAUGUACACGAUUUACACUUAAUUAUUUAUAAUUAUAUAAAAUAAUAUACAUAUAUUAUAUUAUACAUAUAAUGGGAAUGAAUAUUUCAAGUGAUAGGCAAUACCGAACUAUUCGAUAUUUAAUCGCAUUCGAAUAUUCAAUAGAUCAAAAACUAUUCCAUUGUAGAAAAACCUAAAACCUAUUCGGAUAGUUUUUCGAAAAAUUUGAUGGUUUUCCUGAAUAAAUCUAUUGAGCCGUGGAAAAAAAUAUUCGAAUGAAACAUUUGAUAGUACGUCCAAACUACCGAAAACUAUUAAUAGUAUAAAUUGUUGUUCGGAAGUAUCCAUCACUUAUUGUUUCUCUGUGGUAAUUAUUUAUAUUACCAUAUAUAUUAUAUAUUUAUAUUACUAUUAUAAUAUUAUAAUACUAUGAAUUUUAUUGUAGGUUAAUAAAAUUAAAGUGUAAAGGUGAACAGAAUAAUAAUUUGGUCACUAUUCGUUUAAUAUAAUAUGUUUACCUUCUGAUAGAAUUAUUAUAAACCAGGUUACAAUAACGUGGUCUAUGAAUAUAUUGGUUGUUUGUACAGCGUUCUGAUUGUAGUUCAUUAUUCGUGCGGCACAAUAAAUAGUAGAAGCCGCUUAUUAGGAACACGGAUAAUUGAUACAAUUUCGUUAUUGAAACAAAAUGUGUAAGGAUGGAUCGUUCGUAUAUUAAAACAAUCGUAUAUCAAAACCAAUCCUUUAUUAGAAAUAAUCGGUUAAUUGACACGUUUCACCACUUUAAUAAUAAUAUACAAAUUGGGGUAUCCUUGAAAGUUGUUUUCCGAUGUCAAGGAUAAUUACUAUUAAUACAAUAUAUAUUUGCAUAGGCCGAAUUACUAUCAAUUUAGGCAUAUCUGAUAUCCCGCAACAAUUAUAAUAAUAAUAUUAAUAAUUUUAAAUGUACACAAUUUUAGUUGAGUAUUGUGUAUUGUAGGAUGGUAUAGCUAUUAAGAUUUAAGAUUCCGAGAGUAACGAAGGAGUUAUUGGUUUUACAAUGCUGUUUAUUUUUAUUUUUUCUCUGUUCUAGUCUGUGGAUACGUUUUUUCAAAGUAUACUUGCUCUGAUUUUUACGCGUAGUAACUUUUCUGAAAGCUCAAGUUGUCUAAAUUGUACUUUAAGAUGUAAUUUUUUGAUUUUUAAUGCCUUUUUUUAAAUAAAAGCACUUAAGUGGGAAAAAACGUAGGAAAACGUACAAUUUCACAAUUUCAUUACUUUAUAAAAACACGGACAACGUUUUCUACCAGAAAAAAAUGAUUAAAUCGAAAAAUCACAAGAUACCUUUAUAAGAUUUAUUGCUUUUUUGAUUUAAUUUCUUAGGGUAUCAUCGCUAAAACUUUUGAGCCACUUUAGAGCUUUUAAGGAAUUUAAAUUUUUGGGAGUUUUUGUGCUGUAAUUCGGUUAUAAAUACACGAAGAAACUUGAAACUUGAUAAUAAUACUUAUAUUGGAUUUAUCUAGACGUGGUAAAAUUUCCAAAAUCAUCGGACGAAUUUUUUUAUUUUUAAUAAGCGUUUUGAAAUCAAAUUUAAACAAAAAUCACCAAAAAAAAAUACGGCACUUCAAAUUAUGUACUUCCAAACUGCGCUCGGAAUCGUCUUUAGUCAAGCAUUGGUUUAUCGUUACUUACAGAUAUAAAUGAAAUAACCUUAUGUAUCCUACUUUUCCAACUUCUCACAUACAACAGUGGCCGCUUUCAUCCCCAGUAUCAGCUCUUUUUUCAUUUUUGGACUAAUGCGUAAGUAUAUACUAUUCUAGGAACUAAAUGCGUUUCAAAAGGUUAUUUUUUAUGGAUAUAAAAUAGUUCGCUUUAUUGAAUUCGAUGAAAAUAAAUCGAUUACAUUUUGGUACCAUAUACAGUGUUAAAAAUAAAAUUAUAAUCAUUAACUAGCUAAUAUGGUAUUGGACAGUAUUUACUAUUUAACCACGAAUUAAUAUUUUGACAUAUUAUGUAAUUAUAAUAAUAUUGUGUGGUUCAUUCAACUGGACAUACAUUUAGAUGCCAUUUAAUUCAAUAUUUUUUGCUUCUGACAGAUAUUAUAUUUUGUUUUAUAUAGUAAUACGAAAUAAACUACUUAUUGUUUUCUUGCAUUUUAUCAUAUUGUACAACGCACUCGAAUACUAUAUCUGCAGAAGGUACUUUGCAGUCUGUUGAAUUAAAUAAAAUACAGGUUUUGAUAAAUUUUAAACUGUAAGCCGUAGGAUUCUAUAUUAUUUUUUUAUCCAUCGAAACGGUUGAAUAUUUGUGUUUAUUUUUGUGUUUUAAAUAUAAUAUACGAAUAAAGAACGUUACUUGGGUCGUAAAUACGAACCUACUAUACGGAUCAAGAUCAGAAUUGUAGAAAAUGAUUAACCGCGAAAGAAUUAAUGUUUAAUAGUCGAAAAGAAUACAAUUUCAACAUUAUGUAGCUACGUAUAGUAUAUUAAAUUAUGUUUUUUUCAAUAAAAAAAAGUCAGAUAAUUAUAAAAUAAAUGUAAGCCUGUUCCGUUCAAAGUACUUCCACAUAAAAGCAGUAGCAUGUUUAAACCAUAUGUCAGUCCGGUAAUUUUAAUGAGUUUUAAGAAAACAAAAAUAUUAAAAGAGUUUAUUAUAGAUAUACGUACAUUUAGUAGACAAAACACGAUAAUAAUAUGAUCGAUAAUAUUAUUAUUUUUAUUAUUUUUUGUUUUACCAAAUUUAUAGUUGCAAAGAUAAAUUACAAGUAUUAUAUAUAAACGGAUAAAAAUAAGUUAAAAAAGAUGAACAUACUUCGCACGAUGGUGGGCCAUUGUUGUAGGUGAGAAGUUGGGAAGGUACAAUAAAGAGGGAAAUUUAACCCAUUAGCGCAUAAAUUCCGAGAUAAAAAGUAGCUUGCAAUUUUACCCUUAUGAUUUCUUAAAUAAUAGAAGCUCUCACGUAAAAUAAGAAUAUUAACAUUUUCGCUUUUAGUAGGGAUUUACAUUUUGUAUACCUUUACAUUUUGUAUCCACGUUUAGUAUAAUAUUAAUAUUAUUAUUAUAAUUUUAAUUUGAUUAUCUAAUUAAACAGUAUUACCGUCUUGUUAUUGACAUUUUAUCAGUUUAAGCUUUACGACUAUAAUAUUUGUUUACUGAUAAUUUGAUUUCGUUCCAAUGUGGAACGAAAUAAUAUAAUACUAUAGAGCUAUUAAAAUCGAAUACCACGCAUUAUAAUGUAACUUUAUAAAGGGGUAAAUGCCGAAUUCCAAUUUUCGUAAAAACUUAAUUUAUCCAGAUUAUAUUCGAAUAGAUUUUAAAAAAUACUAUGAAAAAUCGGUAUAUUUGACUAUCUCUUACAAAUUAGCUAUUCAGACUAUUCUAAAUGUUUUAAACCCGACAAAUUGUUUACAGUUUUUUUGAGUUUAAGUUUAUCAAUAGUUGUUGAAAAAAAAAAUUAAUACGAGCUUUUUAACAGUAUUAUAGUUAUUUCCAAAAUUCAGUUUACUUUAAUUGCAUAAGUAGGUAUUUUUCAAUUUUGGUGAAACAUUUUUUUUUAGGGUUCACAUCAUUUUGAUCGGCAAUUUGAAAAUAAUCAGUCGAUAUUAUUUAUUUAUAGUAUAAGGAAUAAGAGUAACAUUUUUAAAAUGUUGAAAAUAAGAUCAUUAAAUUAUAUGCAUGUAUAAUGUCGGAAAAAAUCAAAAUUAAAUUUUUUUUAAAUUUAUUCAUACAAUAAAAAAAUCAUCUUGUAGAGGUAGACAAUUCAAAAAAACUAAUAUUAUAUGUACAGCGAGUAAGUUUAUGUCAUAAAUUAUGCACAAUACUUUAAUAAUUAUAUAUGUAUAUGUAAAAUUAUUAAAAACGUUUGAAUAUUGAAACAACAAUUUAUGUAUGUAUAUAAUAAAAAUGUAUACUGUUUAGUGUACGCGCAAAUAACGAAUUGGGAUAUUACUGUAGUAAUUAUAUUUUCCAUAUAUUUAUAACGUUGAUUAUAAAUUAUAAUUAACGGCGAAACUCCAUAGAUAGGCGGUAAAAAAAUGCAUGGUAUAACGUUUAUAAGGUUUUUAUAUUAUUUUAAACUGCGUGAAGAUUGAUUAUCGAAUUAGUUUCUCAGGUUUUCUUGUAAAUACUCUAAACUGUCUUUAGUGUUAUAAUUUUAUUUAAUUUAUAUCCAUAAAUGCGUUUAUGAAACGACAUUUCAACUAAUAUUCAAAUAAUCUUAACUAACCCAUAGUGAUCGAUUCAGUUUAAACAAAAUUAAUUAUUUUCACUAUUCACUUUUUUUUUUUUUUGCACUAUAAUUAUUAAUAUUUUUUUUAAUAAGAAAAUUACUGUUUGCCAAACUAUUUAUGUAAACCAUCAUGAAUAUUACUGUUUACACCUUUUUUUUUUUUUUUUAAAUAAACAUUUCAAGGAUAAAUAAUAAUAAUUGCCUAGUUUCAUCAAUUUUACAAUGUUUCCGCAUGUUUUUUUUAUUUGUUUUUACAUUUUGACAAAGAACAUUUUUUUUUUUAUCGAAUAUCAUAAAACAUAAACUCGAAUAAUUAAAUUAUAUACAUAUGGGUUAAUUGUAUUUAAUAAGCAAUAUUAUAAUAAUGUUAUAAUUAGGAACGGAUUUAUAUGUAUUUAAAGUCCUUAAAAAGCGCUUAAAAUCGUUAAAAAAAGCAAAACUAGUAAUGGUAGGAGGGAUUUAAAAUUUCUCCUCUAAUGGCUCUAAUAUUAAAAACAAUUUUUUAACACUAUACAAAAAUGGUUAAAACAAAUUAGUUAUUUUCAAAUAAAAUUGUAUGUAUUAUAAAGAGAAAAAACUUUGUGUUACUUAAUUUUUAGUAUUGGACGAUUUUAAUUGAUAUCGUUUUAAAACCUUUAGAGGGAGACUUUUAAACUUUUCUAUCACUUCUUUCUUUUAUUUAGUAUUUUUAAAAUUUUUUUUUUUCGCUAAUUUUAAAUGCAUAUAAAUUCGUUCCCUAGUUAUAAUAAUUAAAUAAUUAUUACCGAUUGAUGAUAUGAUUUUAUUUAUUUAAAGAAAUAUAUUUUAUUGAUUGUAUCAGAACAAAUUGUAUUACAUUUUAUUAAGUAAAAAUUUGUUUUUUAAGUGUUUUUUUAUUAUAUCAUCAGAGUCCACUGUGUUUUGUGCUGAUUUCGAUACAAUUUAAAAAUGCGAAUUCAUACCAAAUAAUGUUGUCAGUUUUUACUUAACUGAACGAGACAAAUUAUUGCUCUAAUAAAAAUGAGAAUGUAUAUUAUAUGAAAAAAUAAUAAUAUUAUUUGUUUGUAUAAAUCUGAAUGAGAAUUUAUAAUAUUAGAUGAUAACUUCAACUAAUUCAAUUAUAACGUAUCCUUGCAUUUUGAAAAAGUUUCUUUAAAUGUGAAUCGAAUGUAAUUCAAUAAAUCUGAGUGUUGAUAUUAGGGUAACGUGAUGCCGAACGUGACGUCGUAACUCUAUAAUAUAAGUAAUAAGUAUAGUAACCUUCACCUUCCACAUUGGAAAUGGAGUUGAAGAAACCGUAAUUAUUAUACUAAGUUCAUUAUUUUUAAUUUUUAUAUUGAAGUAAGUAUAUAAUCAAAUUUUUAGACUAUUUAAUCAGCUAUACAAAGUUAAAUAUCAUUAUUGAUUUACAAAUCUGAUUUUUUUUCUCUGUAUAAUAUCUGUGACAGUAUUUUUGUUAUGUAAAAGUUAAAAGAUCUGGAUUUUCAUCCCGUGGUGAUGGUACUUUAUUUGAACCAUUUUUUUUAGGUUUUAUUAAGUUGUCUAGUAAAAAUAAAGAAGGUUGCCUCUAAAUUUGGGUCUUUAGUUAUGCUGAUUUCAUCGGUUACAGAAGAAAAUAAUAAGCUCCACUCAGAAUCGAUUUUUGUGUGUGAAUGCGGUAAUGAAUCUACAUUAUUUAAAUCAAAUCAUUAUAAUAAUAUGCUUUAAAUUUCUGCUUAAAGGUGCAACAGUGGCUUACACAGUGAUGUGUAACCCGUCCUUUUUUUAAAAAAAAGUUUGUAUUUUUCGGAAAAUUAACCCAUUCAAUAAAGUUUUGUUGUAAAACAAAAAAAUAGUACUACUCCAAUAAUAUUAUUAUUUUGUCGUUGUUUUUGUUAUAUAUUAUCAUUAUGAUGUCAGCACUCUUCGAUGCUAUUUUUAAAUAAUUAUUUUUGAAUUCGUUAAUUUCAUUAUAUUAUAUAGGCAAUAUAUGUUCUGUGGUCCGUGGGUCGUAUAUAUUAAGAGCAGUUACGGGUCACAUUUUCUUUCACAGUAUGUCGGCGUGCAUUAUUUUUGUAAUUUGUCAUAUUUUUCAUUUUUAAAUUUACAUAGUUUUAAAAUCUUUUAACAUCCGAGGAUCUCGCCCAUAAAAUUGAUCAACGAUAUAAAUUUACUAAAAGUUUCAUAUCUAUGUAAAACGAAAUAUUUAUAAUCUACAUAUAAGCAGUGUUAAAUUUUCAAUUUCGAGUUCAUUUCCAUUAAAUCGUUUUUCAAGUUUAAUUACAGUUAUUCUUAUUGUGGCCCGAAUUUGGACGAUUCUUUUUGAUUUUUGUCGGAAAAUCAUAUACAAUGUGAAAUAAAUAAAGACGUGUUUCACAAAUGAAUUUAAAUUACUAUUUUUUUUUCCCUUUUUUUAAUGUUUCAUAUUUGUUUAAGCCAUUUGUAUAUUAGUCACGGUUUUAAAUAUAUAUGCAAGAGUAUAAAGGUACACCUAAAUGAUUUAUUUGUUCUAUAGAAUCAGUAGUUGAAGUGGGAAAAAGUCGAAGGCAGACUUAAUUCAUCAACAAUUGAGGGGCGUUCCCGAAAACUAACUAACUCUAACCCUAACCAAAAUUUCAAGGAACUACACAUCAACGAGAAAAGACUGAGUCUUAUUACGUAUAAUCAAAUAGGUAUAUUGAAGAAUAUAAUUUUAUUAAAAUUAAUUCGAAUUUUUAAAAUUUCAUUAAAAAUGUUUUAGUGACAAUAUCUCACUUACGAGUACUAAAAUUAGACAUCGAAAGUUCAAAGGGACUCAUAAUUUUACCUUAAAUUAGAAAGGGAAUGGGAAUUCAUCCUUCUUCACCCUCCUCCACUUUAAUAACUAUCUACAAUAAAAUAAGUUUUUAAACUUUCAAUCAAUUAACCUUUUAUUUUUAAUUUUGUUCAUAUAUUUAUAUAUUGAAACUUAAAAUAGUAUAAUUUAUCAUAUUAUAUAUUUUUUCAUUUUCUAGGGAUUUCAUUUUAUUUCAAGUGUAGUUUCAACGGUUUUUCUAAGCUUUUUUGGGUCAUCGACAUCCAUAGUUAUUAUAGUUGGUUUUUAUUUAAAAAUACGUUUGUAGUCUGACCAAAACGCUGGUUUACUCAAGGUGCGAAUUGUGUGUCAUUUGCAAUAUCUUUUUUUUUUAUGUCCGUCUAUUCUUAAAUAUAUAUUUUUUUACCUUCAACUAUGUUAAAUGAGAUGUAGUUAUUUUUGAGUGAAUCACAAAGCAUUGGUUAUAAAUAGUAGUUAUUAAGUAUCUAUUACAUUAGUCUACGAUUUAUACUAAAUGAGUGCGCGUUAAUGAAUAGGUACACAUAUAUUAUUAUUUAUCAACCUCCUAUCCUCAUGUUAGGAAUAUCAAUUAUACAAUAUUCCUAAUAUCAACCUCAAAAUUCCAAAAAUGCCGUUAAAUUUGAAAUCUAACUGGUUGUAUAAAAUUCGAUUAGAUUAUAUGAAUUAUGUUUCACUCAUUCGCUCACAAAAUAUUGUUAUCCAAUACAUUACUUUUCUAUGUAUUUAAAAGUUAAAACAAAAUGAAAAAAAAAAUAACUAAAUAAUCGAUUAUAUAUAAGAUUUUUUGUGUUUAAUAUCUUUAGUCUGAAAUUAUUUCACACAAUUAUGGUUAGGUAUACUUAUGAAAUUGGAACAUCAAAAAUCAUCUAGAAAAUUUAACAAUACAUAAGACGGACGAAUGGCGAUGGAAAGUUACUGCACGAAUAGGUGUAUACAAGACUAUAUAGUAUCGUAACCUUGGAUAGUCGGAUAAUUUUAGUGUGACGGAUCAUUUUUGUUUUUAUUCAUCACAUGGUAGGUAUAUAUAAUCGUUGUAUACUUAAUAACUCGGCAUGAAUUCAAAUGUGUUGGCAAUUGUAUUUAUAUAAUUUAAUACUAAAAGAAAAUAAUACAUCGAAGUAUUAUAUAAUGAUAUUAUAAUACUAGUCCUGGUCACUUCUUGCUACAUUUAAUGUCAUUCGUUUUACAUUUAGUUCUAAGUCUUAGGUUUAGUUUGCAGAAGUUUCACUAUUGUAUUCAUGUCUGUUUGUGGUAUACACAAAAUAUAUUUAUAAAUUAUAAUUAGGUUACGGAUUAUAAUACAUAUUGCAUUUUUUUCUGAAUGUCCUAAAGCAAUGCUUUCCAAGCACACUAUUUGUUUCAUAUGUCAAAAAAUUAAAAUAUGAAUAUUUUUUUUUGCAUAUUUAGAACUUUUUUUAUUUUCAGAUUCAUUUUGGACAUUUUAAAUGCAUUUUUAGGUGUUUAAGGAAUUUUCUUUUCUUUCUACAGACUUCAUAAUGUUAUCCUAAAAUUUGAUAAAAAUUAUUUUGAUUUACUCCUAAAAGGAAAAACGAUUCAGUGUACCAGAUGAAUACGGCUGCAAUAAAGAAAACGAUAAAUUAUUUAUUGAGUUGUAAUGUAAUCGUAUUAUUACUCUAUUUGCACUGUUGUGUUUAGUAAAUUUAUAUACUUAAUAAAAAAAGUGUACGAUGUGUUCGCGUUGCUAGGUAAUAUUAAAUAUUUCCGUCUGAGGAUUUUGGAUUAGUAUUCCGUUUUCGGGAAGUGAUAGGGGUUACUGAAAUACGCACUUCAGGAUGAAUUUAAAUGGUUUAAUCUUUUCGGUCCGUGCAUGGCACUGCAUACGCAGUGAAAAUUGUUGUUUUUUUUUUUAAUAGAAAAGUAUUAUAGACUAUAGAUUCGGAAAACAUUCAUCGACGGCACGGAAAACAACGGGAACUUUUUGGACUGGUGCAAUUGAAUGUGAUUUUAUUAUGUGACCGUAGAGAAUUCAAAUAAUAAUAUAAUAUAAUUAUUGUUGCGGUAUGCAAUAUUAUAUCGAUGCGCGUUUAAUAAUUUUAAUGGGUUCUAGUUGACACAAGAUUGAUAUAUUUAUUAAUCGUCUUCAUCUCGCAGUUUGUAUUUCACAUGUAUUCGAAAUAUCUGUCUCUGUAUUAACAGUAUAUAUGUUUUUGGUUUAUGGUUUAGUAUACAUAUUCAAAGUUUGAUACAACAGAUUUCUCAGAAUAGCCCUUAAAGCACCCUGGUUUAUGCAUAAAAAGUAGCUUCACAAUGACACUGGUAUAUCAUACCUUUACAUAUGGAUCAAGGAAAAAUUUAAGUUAUUUCACUCAAAACUUAAUUUAACUGAAGGUGCACUCCAUUAUAAGAUUGGGGAGCAAACAAAAAAUUGCUAAAACUACGUCUUCCCCAGGAUGUUUUGUUACCUAUGAAGUCAUUCGAAUCCGAAUCUGAUUCGUUGUAACUGCCUAUUAUCCUGUACAUUAUUUAUUUUUACUUCUAUUCACGUUUAUAUAUAAAUUAAUUUUUUUUUUUUAAUUACUGUAAUUACCAUUGUUUAAACAAAAAUAUGUUGAAACAAUUAAUAAAAUAAUGGAAAAAAAAGUUUGAUAUACAUAUAUGAAUGUAUAUAUAUAUGUAAAAUCUUUAUCUAGUUUUUGUCAUCAUAUUUUGGUUCUCACAACUCAACUUUUUUUUUCACCGAACUUAUACACAAAAACGGCAGUUACGUAUUAUUUUUAUUAUGUUGAUUAUUAUAGUAUUGGCAUUAUUAUAAUCAGUAGGGUUUCAUUACUUUUAUUUUUCGUCACUUUUAUUUUUGCCGACGAAACUACUACCUACUUUAUUAAUUUUAUAAUAGCAACUUUUAUUACAAAUUCCAUAAAUAGAUGAUAUUUUACAUUAAAUAUAUUUUGGUGUUGACAUUUUUAAGUUCCGUCAACCUAAUAAACCAAUUACUCAGUGUAAAUUUGUUUGUUAAUUUGAUUUUAUGUAUGUGUUUUCUUAGAAAAUGUUUACAAAGAAGUAAUUUUCAUUGACAGUAGAAAUAAUUCCAGGUUAAUUUGUUUUGUGUAAUAAUAAAAAAAAUAUUGUACGGAUAUUAAAUUUUCAAAAUCAGUAGUGAUCCAGAUUUAGUUGUUGUAUGUGUGCACGAGGGUGUCAUACAUAAUAAUGUAUAUUGUAUUGGACUGUAUGGAUUUUUUAUAGAAAUGAUUAUAUAAUUUUAUUUAGAGCAUAUUUAGAUUGACUAUUAAAAAAAAACUGUGCAUAUAAUACAACAUUAAUAAUAUAUAGUGAAUACAAAAUGAUUUAUCUAUAAUAAUUUGACAAAGCGGAUUUGUGACAACCAUGCCGCCAAAAUGAAAAACCUCCCGAGGUACCGUCGUCGCUACGAUUAUAUUAGGUAUUCUCAAGUAAACAUGUUUUAAUUAAGACCCGUUGCUUUUUGUUUGAAGUUAUUUUUGACGGGAAUAAAAUUUAUAUUUUCCUUUCCAUGGACACCCGAAUGUAUGACUUCUAUGUAUGUGUAUACUAUUACAUUGAAGUACCGAAGCCAAAGUAAACCAGCUAAAACUCGAAUCCACUCUUAUCGUCAAAACCCAUAUUAUAUUAAAUUUACUCAAGCGGUUUCAGCGAUACGUUAUAUUGAUAAAGUUCAAGUACACACAUAAAAAGCGGGGAGAUUUUGCGUAAAAUUGAUAUAUGCAAAUAAAUUAUAAUAUGUAUGUACAAUCUAAUUGCAGCGUAUACCACCAUUACGCUAAUUAACAUUUUUAUAUUACAAAAUAUUAUAUCCGUACAGGUAUUAUUAGCGAGAUAUAAAAAUGUAUAAAUACAUAUAUUUUUUUUUCAAUAUGUAUCUCAAAAUUUGAUAAAAUUAGAUUUUCAUCAAUACUAUUAAAACAAGUGUUACCGAAAAAGUUUUGGUCUAUCUUUCUAUAGUAUAUUUAUAUUCAGUGCAACGGUCCUUGCAUGCGCUAAGUAAAACAAAAGAAGCGUAGCAAACGAUAGUGUACAUUAUGUCGAACAACAUUUAAACACAGGUAGAGUAAAAUUAAAAUGUUUUCUUUUAAAAUAUCAUAGAUUUCCAAUUUAUUUUAUAAAUAAAUCACGAGUGCCCAUGUUAAGAAAUAAAAGAUUUUUAUAAGGUCCACAUUUAAUGAAUAAAAUACAUACAUAUAUGUAUUUGUUAAACAGACUUGCAAACGUAGUUCGUUAAUAAUGUGUAAUCGUAAAAAUAUUAAUAUUUGUAUAUCUAUACUGAUUGGAUGAAUAUAUUAAAUAUAGUUUUUAGACGGCGAGUUAUCAUAAUUUAACAUAGAUUUGGGAUCGGGAUAAAUAAGUAGGUAUCAACCAAAUAAGUGUUUUAUUUCAAAUUUUUAAAAAAACAUUUGAAAUACAGCAAAUUCAGAGUAAAUUUUCCCCGAAAUUUAACUCACUGGAUAUUCCACAAUCUUCCAUCGCAUCACUGCUGCCAAAAUAAAAUUGGUAGUAAUUGUUGGUAGCAAAAAUUUUUUUUUUGGUCUGAUGACGUAAAACAUUUUUUUACCAGACAUUUUGAUCCGAUUUUCAAAUAUAAUAAUAAUAUACCAUCUUUUUUUAAAUAAAAUGUUGUAUAAUUGGUGCAAUAGGGAAAUCGUGUUUAUAUAUUUUUUUUAGUUUUCUUAAUAAUUAGGAAAAUUAGUAGGAAAAAUUACGGCAAUAACGGCUUUAUUUUUUCGUUAUUUCUGUAAUUCGUUUAAAAAUAAUCGUAGUGACUUGAGGUUCAUAAUUUUCACAAAAUAUAAAUAUAUUAGUAUAUUAGUUUUUCCCUGACAGAAUAAGAUUUUCAAAAUAUUUUAGCAUUGCUUGAGCUACUGAUAGACAUAUGACAUUUUCGAAUUUUUAUUUGAUUUUAUUAAACUGUUUUGGCCAAUCAGAAUUGUUUGAGAAUUUUACACAAAGCUUAUCUAUCUUAGUCGUAAAAUAAGUUAAGCGUAAUGUUGUAGUUUUUAUGAGUUUUUUAUAUACAAAUUUUAAUGAAAAACGUAAUAGUCACGGAAUUUCAAAACAUGUUUUACCGAAUUUCGGCCCAAAUCGUUUUUGAUUAGUAGUAACUUAUCGUUCUAUACAUAUAUAAAUGUAAUUACUCUACAAUAUAUCCUAUUUUCUCAAUUUCCCAUCUACACCAGUAGCGCAUCCAUCAGUAGUAUCAGCUACUUUUUUUUUAUGUGUUCUGCAAAACGAGACCGAUCGAUUAAAGAGCGAAUGGAAUAUUAAUAAAGUUUUUUAUUGUAUUGGUAUACCAUAAUAUGUAAUCAUACUGCGUGUACAUUUUAUUUAUUUCCUCGGACGGUUUUGUUGUCAUCCAAAUGACGUACGUACGUCAAGUCGAUCUAUUUCUCAAUACAUGCUUAUGUCCAUAUUCGUUACUAUAAUAUACAUAUCUUACUGCGUCACAAGAAAAAAUAAUGUUCUUCACUCUCGACAGAGGAACAAAUUUUUGUAAGACAUGUCUGAUCAUUAAUACUUGUUAUUAUAUAUUUGUAUACGUAUAUAUACUAUAUAGCCGGCCACUUGUUAAUUCUAUAUGCCGGUACACACGUGGCAUAUGUGCCGGUUGUCGUUGAACAUUUAGGUCAAUUUUCACUAAUAUUUUGUACAACAACAAUGGUUUUAAUUGGAAAUCGGUUAAAAAUGUGUACAUCAAUUGAAAUAUGUAGAUUUUUUUUAAUUUUAAUUGAAAACCAACUAAAAUCCAUACCGACAUACCGCAUAUGAUAACGUUUUUUUUUUUAAACCUUUUUAACGAUUUAUACAGUUGUACAGAUGUAUAGUUUUGUUCUCUCAGGUUUUAUAAUAUUCCCUUUUAUUAAACAUUGAAACACUAAAUCCUGAUACUAUAUUAUAGGUAUAGGUAUAGGUAUAGGUAUAGGAGUACCCUAUUUCACGUAUACUCGAUUUCAUGUAUUCAUGUGAAAUUACCGUCCAAUAUAUCUAUAAAACCAUGUACCUACUUGAAAAAUCUGAGUACACGUAAUUAUUCACAUGAACAUGUAUAUUCACGUAUUCAUGUAUUUACUAUUUGAAUGUAUUAAUAUUUACUUUAAGUUGAUAAUAUUGUUAAAAUUUUUAUUCAACAAUAAAAGAAAUUCAAAUUAUAACAAUUCUACAAAAAAUCGAAUAUAGUACGUUAUUGGCUGAACAAAUAUCAGCAAAUUAUAAGAAUAACACCAAAACAUGUGAACACGUAUUAAAUUCACGUGUAUUUAGUGUACGUGAGUUCAUAUUUUUCAUUCACGGGUACUUAGACUGUAUUUUUACAGGUUGUAGAAACCCGGAGUUUCACAAACCGUAUAAUUCCAGACUGUAUUUCGGCGGAAAAAUAAAUACGCAGAACCUAUCAUAACCGACUGUAAUGACACAGACCGUUUUUUUCCCGAAAAUAAAAUACGUAAACCGUAUUUUUACCGAUCACAGAGGUCCAGAAUGUAAAUACUCCGAUCGACGACCGUAUUAUGGCAGACGAAAUAAUAAAAUCAAUACUGGUAACACUGAAUUUUUACGGUCGGUAUGAAAAUUAUCAAAUUCGGGAAUAUGAAAUCGGGGACUAUACAGUCGAGGAAUAACACAGUCUGUGUAUUUUUUUUUCCGAUGAAAUAUAGUUUGGAACUAUAUGGUUUUUUUUACUAGUUGUUUCUUCUUUAACUGUACAUUUUUACUUCAUGAUUAUGAUAGUUACUGAUGAACCCUAGAUUUCCCUCUCCCUCUCUCCCCCCUUUAACAACUAUAGGUCUCACUAUGAUUUUUAAAUCAUUUCGCCUAUUAUCCAACUUUUGUUCUUCGUUUGUGUUAUAUCUUAUCUAUUUGUGUUGGUCACCACUAAGCACGGAGUAAUACAAAUCCACGGGUGUAGAUUUUUAAAAAGAUUCAAGAGUUUUAAUAUGAAAUUUGAAUGUGCUUAUUUGCUUAUUUCGAUAAUGAAACAUAAAUUUAAAAAUUGUUUUACUAGUUUUUUUUUUUUUUUUUGCUUUUUACACAUUUUUUUAAGAGCUUAUUUCAGAGCUGUGUAAGUUUAUAAUUAUGGCUAUAGAUAAUCUAUCAUCUGUAUAAUGACGUUUUUUUGUUGAUUUUAAUAGUCACUAUAGUUAUUAUUAAUAGUGUAACGUUUAUUGAUUUUAAUUUUUUAUAAUUAGACAAUUUUUUUAAUGUGUUGUUGACAUUAAUGAACUCAUAUCUAUUACCUAUAAUAUGAGUAAUUUUUCUUUUUAUUAAACUGAUUAUUUUCUUAGCGUGUUUCAAAAUAUGUAUUACAGUUUAUAAUCUUAAAUAUUAUUCUAUAACUUAUAAUGGUAAUGUUCAAUAUGUGUAUGGUCCUAAAAGCAAAAUAUACAUAUAUUUACUAAAUUUAAACAACAAGUAAUUUACUCGUAUUGAAUAUUAUCAACGUGACUUGUAGUAUAUAUAAUAAUUAUAAUAUUGUUAUUACUCACCUUGCGAUAAUAAUAUGUCUUACUCGUGUGUUGAAUGCAUUGUAAUAUUAAAAAUAACGACGUUUUCUCGAUUUUAUAGGGUAUUUUAUGUUUUUAUUUCUAAUAAUAUUAACUUGUUGCAAAAUAAUUCGGAACACGAGUAACAAAAUAUAUAGUCGUAGAACAAUCGUCAUUCUAAUGACUGCGUAAAAACAAUGAACAUAAUUCGUUUUUUUUCUUUUUACAAGAGAAAUGAUCUGAAUAAAUAAAUAUAAAUAAUAUAAUGUAAAACAUAAUCUAGGUACGUAUACAUGUUUACCGAAUGCAUAAUUUCAUUAGAUGUGGUUGAUUUCAAAUACAUAUACAUUACUUAAUAUACUAUCAGAUAGCAAAUUUAAAAAAGUGUUUUCGAAUGAACGGCAAAAAUAACACCGAGCGAAAAAAUUGUAUAAUAUAAUAGGAAUGGCGUACGAUGCCAGAAAAAAUGUAAUGCAGGCGUAAAACAAAUUAUCAACUAAAAUACAAAAUAUUCAUUAGAUAUAAUAUUCGUUAAAACAAUACUACUAGAUUCAAAACGAUUUACGAAUGGGUUUCGUAUAAAACUUACCGUUUUUGAAACACUAUAAAACGACGCAAUAGUAUUAUAUUAUUUUGUAUUCUUAUUAUUAUCCCUCGCAUCUAUAUCAUGUUUCAACAUUGUUUUGAUUUUAUAAAAAAAGAAGGGGGGAGAAGCAGACGUGUCGCGAAUGUGAUAUUAUUGUUUUGUCGGCUGGUCUUUAUUAUUGGUAUACGACCGGUUAUGGUUCUAUCCAUUACGUAGGUACCUAUAAUUAUAUACUAUAGCAGCAUAUUAUUAUCUUAAAAUCAUUUGACCUCUACUCCACCAUGACUGAGAAAACUGUAAACACACCAUUAUGAAAUAUUUAAUUUAUUUUAAAAACUCUAUGAUAACCAGGGGUUAAGGAUCUUUGUACGAUAGAACUUUAACUAAAAAUAAUAUACUAAACUAAAAUAAUAAAUUUAAUUUUUACAUCCUUUUAUCUUGUGGUUUUAGUAGUAUAGUACCUCUAGUAUCUACUUGUUGCCUAUUUUUGGAAGGUUCAUGUGCUCUUUUUCGUGUUUGUAAACAACUUUACUACCGGAAAUCUUGUUACGAUCAAAAAUUUCAGAUGGAAUUUCUUAUAGCAUAUAUCCAUAUAGACACAAUAGUACUGACAGUGAACGGCUAGCAUUAUAUUUAUUCAGUGAACGUUGAAUGCGUCAAUUUGUUUGCUCGUGUACGGGCCUUAAUGUUCUUUGUACUGCGUCUACGAAAGAUUUCACCGUAUGCUAUACUUAUUAUAAUCACCUGAUUUAUACGAAGACAAGCGAAAUGUAGAAUUAUUCAAAUGUUUAUGGAAUGAACUUUUAGAAUUUUCCAAAAAAAUUAAGUAAAUAUUGGUAUACCGACUCAUAAAUUUUCAAAUUAAACUUUGAAAAUAAUUUACUUCAACAAACUGUUUAUUACUUCGACAGCUGGAUCAAAUAGUAGUAAUGCAGUAUAUUUUAUACCAAAAGUUUACGGAGAAGCCAUUUUUACUAUGAGAUAGUUGGCACAAUAAAUAAAGAAUUAAAUAAUAGAUUUUUAAGUGAAACUUUAUCAGCUUCCCGCUGAUCAUUUUUUGAACUAAAUCCCAUUAUUUAUUCAUCUAUAUCAGACAUUACUUAAUAUUGAUUCCAAACUAUUAAAAUCAGAAAUGGUGGUAGAAAAAAAUUGUUUAUUAAAAGAAACAUGGAAACUUCAUGAACUAAUGAAAGUUGCAAAUAAAUCAGUGUUAUUAAAUUUCAGAAAAAUGUUCAAAAUAGUAUUAAACUCCCCGUUACCACAGCUACUUGUAAAUGAUCCUUUUAAGAAAUGUGAAGUAUUAAAACAUGGCUUAGAUCGUCUGUGCAACAAGAUUGUUUUGAUAGCUUGACAUUAUUGAACAUUGAAAAGGACAUUCUAAAAAAUUUAAAUAUAGAAAAAAUACUUGACCAAUUUGCUAAAAAAUCAAGAAAAAAAAGGACGGGCAUACUUCGCAUGUGGGUGUAGCCACUGUUAUGGGUGGGAAGUUCAGAAGAUAAGCUACAGACGGGAAUUCAAUGUAUAUCUGUAAGUAAAGAUAAAUCAUUAUUAACGAAAAAAACGAUUCUGAGUUGAGUUCAGUUGAUAAUGUUGCUUUGUCAACAUUACAAUAUAUGGUAUUAUGUCAUAUUAUGGUAAAAUGAUUAAAACAAUGUGCGUUUCCAUGACAACAAUGAUUGUUUUAAAAACAUUUAAAUAAUAAAAACUUAAUAACAAAAAAUAAAUAAAAACGGUUACCAAUGAUAACAUUCUUUUUAAUCUUUCAAUCUUUUUUAACCUAAAGACUGAUGUUUUUCUCAUAUCGAAAAAAAUUACCUACCUAAAGUAUAACUCAGAGAAAAUUUCCUUUCAAAAAAGAUACUUAAUAAUCGGAAGUAUGCUUUCCGUUAGUGUUCAUAAAAAAAAAAAAAAAUAAUAAAAUUAAUAAAAAAAAAACACCAUUUUAUUAUAAUUAUUUUAUAAGUUUAAUAUUUAGUAUUUAAAUACAAAAUGAAUACCCUUUUAUAAUAUCAUUCUAUUUAGUUAUUUAUGAUGUAAAAUAUUUCUUGAGACUUUAGCCUUCUUCCCUUGUAUUUAUUACAAAUUUUAAUAUGCUCCCUGUAUGUUGAUCGGUAUACACUACGAGUUCGCACAAAAUUUCUUUGUGACGUUGCGGUUGUAAGGUUAAAUAUUUCAUUAGAAUUCAAGAAAUAAUCUGUAUAAUAUAAAUUAAAAUUAACUGUGUAAUAUAAAUAUUAAGUAUAAGAUAAAACUGUUUAUUGUCAAUAAUGAAUGGUUUUAAAAGUUUUUAUUCGUACCUAUAAUAGCCAACUGUAUCACCCUCGUGGCCUCAUCUACAUAGCUAUUUUAAUUGCCUUAGAUUAUAAACGUUGACGAUUUUUUUUUCACUUUUGAUACUAUGCAAUUUCAUUAUUAUUUUUUUAUUAUUAUUAUUAUAAUCAUUAUUUUUUAUUAAUACUAAAACUAUAACUGGCACCGUCGCAACAAUAUUUAUGCAGAAUCGUAAGUUACCCAUGUUGCUUACCCGUAAGUUACUCAUUCUAUAUAAGUAGGUAAUUCCUGAACUCCGAUAAUACGAGUAAGACAUUACCAAGGGAUAUUAACUUAAUCUAUGAACUUAUUUCGUACAACGUAAAUGCAAUUGAUUCGCUUAUCUACACGAGGAAGUAUAAAAUGUAUUCAGAUAUAACUUUAUGAACUAAAAUGCAUAAUAUUAUGUUUUCUGCAAGAAUUAUGAAAAUUACCGAUAUUGACAAUGUGUUGAAGCAUCUAUUAUUAUAUAUAUUUUAUUAGUAAAGCUAUUUUCUUUAUGCAUUAAAAGACUGCUGAAACUACUAUUAUCACUGCAAUAUACGUAAUUAUAAAAAAACGUUUUUUUUUUCAACCGGAAAUUAAACGUACAUUCGUACUAAUUUCAAGUUUGUUUUUGAAUUGCGUUAUAAAUUUAAACCGUUUUGAAUAAUAAAUUAUGUGCGGUGAUUUGUCAGCCGUCUAAAAACCAAAAAAAGUAAUUUAACGCCCUCAUAACCAUAAAACAUUUCCAAAAAAAGCCAUAACGAAAACUUAUAAAAUUCACGACGACGUCCAUCGUUAAUAAUAAUAAGAGCAGCGAUCAUACUAAAAAGCAGACUUUAAUAACAUCAUUUUAAUUUCCAGUGCGGCGGCACUGUCCAUUUUUGUAGUCGGUUUGCAGCAGUUUUUUUUUCGAAUCUAUUUUCUACUUCUCAAAUGGUGACAUUGGCAGCUCGAUAAUCCGUAGGUCUGUUAUAAUAUUAUUUCUCUUGCACAUAAUAUCGAUUAAUUUAUUUCGAAUGAUACUAUGAGUAUAUUAUGUAAAUGAGGUUUUAUUAUUUUUGUAAUUAAUCGUCCUACUAAUAUUAUAAAUGUAGAAUUGUGUGUGUGUGUGUGUAUGUGUAUGUGUGUGUUUGUUUUCAGCCAAGAUUGCAGUUACUUUAGGUCCUAGAUUAGGACAAAGGAUACUUAUCAUUCCAGAGAAAUGUUUACUCAUUAUAGGAUAGUAACCUAACUUAUCGAACACAUUGAAAAACACCACAUACACUUUGUGUUCGUAUGUAUUUGUUUGAUUUUUUUUUCAAAACAACACCGCAAUGCCUCACGUCUUACCAUCGGCAACGCACACUGCGGUGAUUUUAAUCUCAAACCCCAUCUCAUUAAAAAAAAAAACAAUGUAAAACAUAUUGUUUCCUGGUUGAAUAAGGAUUGAAUGGUUGAAUGGACUAAAGAACAUUUAUAUAAUUGCAGGAUUACCAAAAACCCAAGGGAAGAUACCACAUAAAAAUCCCAAAUCAACGCUCAUAUACUGCUAUUGUAUAAUACUUAUUGCACCUAUUACUUUUUUUCUAGAAUAGCCAGGGAAAUACCUGGUAAUACACUUAUACUUUACAGUUUUACAAUUUUCAACAUAUACACGAAUGUGUGAUCACAAAUUUAAGAAUUAUGUUUGAUCGGAUUACAUUGAAUUGUGUUGACACUUUUUGUUUACAGUCUAAGUGGUAAUAUUUAAUUAGGCACACAUUUACAUAAUCAUUUUAAAUUUGUAUUCAUUGUGGUUAUUUUAUUAUUUUAAUACUAACACAUUUUAUGCAAUAUGUAGUAUUAACCAUACUAUUUGUAUGCGCUUAUUUUUUUAUGCUAUUUUGACUAAUUAAUCUAUACUUAAAAUUAGUCAACCAACAAUUUUUCAAUUUAACAUGUGUGUUCUUACAUUUAUUCAGUUGCUCCAAUAUUAAAAUAAUAGUUAAAAAAUCAAUGACCUUUUAUGAUUUAACAAAUCGAAAAAAAUAUAUUGAUAACUCGAAUACAAAUUACUCUUGUUCGGUCAAUGUGUUGUUUCGCCUAACCCUGAACAAUCCAACUUCAGUACAUUGGGUUGUAUGAUUUGGUUUCGGCACAUUUUUGAUUACUUAUAGAAAUUGUUUAGUGUUGGCACUGAUUUCGUAGUCUUGAUAAUGACAGAUCUGAUUUAAUCGAAGCAACAGGUUUGACAUUAUCAUCAGAUUAUUGUACGAUGAAAUAAACACAAUAAUUUUAAAAAGCCGAUUGGUCAAUUAUAUGAAAUAUUCAUAAUAACGGUUUUAAAUCGAACAAUAAUAAUGAUGUUAGUAAACAAUCUAUGUUGAGAUGAAAUAAUAUUGCUUCGCGUUAACCUUGGUCGGUCCGUACAAUAUUGUAUUGUAUUCACUUCUUCGGCUUUAUAAAAUGAUCGUUUUAUUGGACACGGUCCGGGCGUGCACCUUGUAGAAAUAUUCCUUUUACACGAAAAUCGCUACAGAUUUUAUGUUACUAUUAUUGAUUAGAUUGGAUGGUGACGAGAAGCUAAUUUGCUAUUGAGUGUUACUGUAUAAGCAGGUAUAGGUAUUAUUAUUUUGAUUAUCACUAUUCCGGCACCGAGUUUAUUGUAUCUAGUAGGUACAAUAACAUAGCUAGGAAAAUAUUUCGAGAAGGGUUUUAAAUUUGAAAUUCCCAUUAUUUAUAAAAUCCAUCAGGACUUCCCGUUUUUUAAUACGUUAUUUAAUUAAUCGUAUUAUAAUUUAUAAAUAAAAUUAAUAAAAGAAAAAAAACCAUUAAGCUAUAGAGCUUUAUCAAUAGAGUCAAAUUUUUCCCCAUCUAUUUUGUGUUAUAGAAAUAUUAUUUGUACAACAAUAAAAUAUAACCGAAUAGGUACUACAAUAAUAUAAUAUAUACUACAAUUAUAUUUUUUAAAAAAAAAAAGUUGAAAUAAAGUAAGUAAGUAAGUAAUAAAGUAAGUUGAUCAUAAACAUGGUAGACGGGAGACAGUUAAAAACGCCAAUAGGCACUUCCUUGAUACUAACAUUUAUAUUUCAUCUUCCAGUCUUUAUUUAAUGGGUUUGUAAGGAUGUUUAAAUCUAAAAAUUUAAGAGGAAAAUUCGAAAAAAAGGUGACUUACUUUACAAAUGUCUUAUAUUUUAAAAAAAUUUAAAAUAAAUAUAUAAGAUAUUUCGGAGGAAUGGGUGGUUAUAACCUACCUUCUGCUGGCUACACUGUUGAGUUAAUGGAGCCGAAAUUCGGUUUUUGUCAUUUUUAGUGCAAUGUCAAAAAAGAGAAUCAGCCUAAAACUAAUUAAAUUGUAAUGUUUGCUAAUAUAUUAAAUAAAUACAAGCUAACUGUAGAAGAACAGUUAUUUUUUAAAGAUCUCCAAAUGGAUAAAAUUCAAAAGUACAACUAUUUUUAGGCAAGGUUAAUGAAGAUUGGGAGCAUUCAAUAGAAAUGAAAUGCAGAAUUGAGAAUACCAGAAGUGCAUUCCGUAAAAAGUUAUGAUUUUUCACUCACAAAAUUAAACUGUUGAGAUAUUACAUUUCCCUAAUCAACUUUAACUUAUGAUUUGGAGCUGAAACAUGGACGUUAAUAAGAAAAUCAAGGAUGUAGAAUGAGGCUAAUUCGUCAAAUUCUAAAUAUCCUAUAAACAGAUUUUGUAGUCCAACUUGAAUAUAUUUUAACGAAUAUGAAAUAAUUAUUAUAACGAUAAAAUCUCGGAAACUAGACUGUCAAGGAAAUAUAUUUAUUUUGAUUUAGAACAUCCGUAUCGGAUAGGAACUCCAAGAAAAAGAAAUCGCCAAUAUUCGGUUUUUGUCAUUUUUUGCGAAAUAAUGUAAAAAAAAAAACGGUGGUUCUCAGUCUAUCUAUAAUUACUUUAGCCAAAAAGUCCCGAGUCAAGGCUGUGAAUUUAAUGCAUUUACUUUUUUUUCUGUUAUAUCGUAUAAAAACAUGGAUUCGAUCAAAAUUUGUUUUGUAUCAUUUAUAAAUAAAAUAUAAAAUCAUAUUUUGCAAAGGAAUUGAGGCAUAUAAAUGCCCAAUUUGAAUUCUCCGAGUUAAUGAUUUUUUUCUAAAUAAUUAUAUUUUCUGAUUAAUCUGGUCUAAACUGGUGUUUGCAAAUUCUGUACUUGGGUACUUCCUUGUGAAAACAAAUCAAUUUUAAUCAGAUAUUUAACUAGUUGUUAUCUAUUUUCAUGCAUUCGCGCCUACAUGAUAUUUACGGAUAGUAAAACCAAAAUAUAUAGUAUAGAUAGUAUAACCAAAAAAUAAUAAAUUAUUAGUAAUUAUUAAUUUCCUCCUUGCCUUUUUUUGAUAUAAUAUUUUAAGAGCAUUUUCAACGCAUAUUUAGUUAUAUAUAUAUAUAAUAUUUCUUUUUCGUAUAAAUUCAUAGCUUUGUUUAAUGUAUUGUUUUUGUAGUAGAUAAAUAUUCCUCUUAUUAUUUUGUUUUUGUGCUAUUAGCCGUCGUUUCAACACUAUGUAAUAAUAAUAUUAUACUCGUACCGCACCGAACUAAAAUAAUGCGUCUAUUUGGUGGGGCGCAUGCGUUUGACGUCAUUUGUUUACGUGACCCGCUUGGUAGGCACACGUGACGACGGCGGCGGCUGCGGUCACAUACUCACGUCUGGAGGGAAACGGUCGACGAAGGGACGCUGUUAUUAUAGGGAUUUUGCGUCGCAGAAAAUGAUAUUUUCACAGCAUGCGGUCGGUUUACUAUAUAAUUAGUAUUACAGUACGUUUAUGUAUGAUGUCAUUAAAACGGUUUGAAAUUAAAUCGUUAUUCAAUUUCCGCAUUUCUCUGGUCACAAAGGUAAAUAAAAUUACCUACUUUCAUUAAUUAAACUUUACCGACAAGUUAAAGGUAAUAUGUGGAGUUAAAUGAGCUCCAUCUAAGAUCGGUAUUCGUCUGGAAUAACUUUCCCAACUAUCCUUGUAUUUUUACUAGUUUCUACCUAGGAAGUUUUUAUAAUAAUUGGGAAAACCCGCAAAAAAAAACAUACGAAAAACAAACAAAUUAUACGUGUUUUAAGUUAAAAUUUUGACGAAAAUCGGAAAAUUAACGUAGAAUUAAUUUGUUGACCGGGCAUAAAUGCUUGAAAUGUAUACACGAGUUACACCAUCAGUUGAAAUUAGCAAUUAAAAAAUUUAACAGUACGCAUUUUUUUUUAAGCAUUUAAAGUAUAAAUUUUGUCGUAAAUCUUAAAAAUCACGGCAUUUUAAUGCAUGUUUAACUUUACUAGGAAUCGGUGUACCAUUUUACCAGUAGUACACCGUACGCUUAUUAUCAGUAUUGGGUAUUUUUUUUCAUACAUAAUAAUAUGUUAUUAAUUAUUAAAUUUUGUUGUAUACAACGCUAAAUACCAAAUGCAUAACCCUCCGUAGUCGGGUAAAAAAUGCGAUCGUCGUGACAUUCGACAAUACGACGGACCAUGUUUACUGCGCAGUAGUUUUUUAUUCAAAUAUAGUAAAGAAAAAAUCUCCGUCGCGCUCCCGGUGGUGAUCAUUUUUUUUACACAUGUGAAAUUAUUUUGUUUUUUUCUGUUGUGAUUUUACGAAUCGGUUAUAAUCUUUUAAGAUACUAAUAGCAUUAGUUGUAUAGGUAUUUUUUUUUAGCAGAAAUAACGAACGAGAUAACAUUUUUUUUUAUUUUUUACGAAUAAGCGAGUCAACUAGACAAUUGUCAGAGUACAUUAUCUGUAUCGUAUACCUAUGAAUAUUAUUUGUUUAUGGUAGACGGAAUAAAUAUACAAUUUUGAAAUAUUGAUAAAGAUAAAAAAGAGUAUAGUAUGGGCCAUAGGGCACGGGGGUUAAAGUGGGGAUAUAACAAUACCAGGUGACCGUGUUUAAAAUAUCUCAUCCGCUAAAAAAAUGAUUUAUUUUUGAAAUGACGUUACAGUUAUAAUUUAGGUUUUCUUAAAUAUAUUUACACUAAUGUAAAUAUAUUGCUGAAAGAGCCUAUUCUGUAGUCUAUGUUUAACUAGGUUUUAGGUGUUUAUUUUAAUAAUUUGUAAUACAUAAUACGCAUCGAAAUAAUAAAUUACAUUUGUUGUUCGUGGACAAAAAUGUAUUCAACGAUUUGUUUUAAAUAUCUAAGUGUUUUCGUUGUAUAUAUAAAAUAUACAAAAAUAACAAUACAUAAUACGAGUAUAUAAUGACACUGUAGAGAGACAUCUGCCACCCGCACGAGCUUUCGGAAACUCGUAUUGCGUCCGAGUACACAAUAAUAAUAUGAAACUCAUUCGUUAGACAUUAAUAUCAUACGUUUUUGAAUAAAACGAAAUACCCUGAACGUUAAAAACAUUACUCAAUGUUGUUACAACACACUUAGGUAAAUAAUCAAACGGUGAGUCGUAAGUGUCCGUAAGUGUUACACUUGCUGGUUUUAUUGUCAUUGUUGCAGGAUUGAAAAUGGUAUAUGGUUAACCUACUCCAACUGAUAUGAAACGCUAAAAUUCACCCAAGAUUUAUACUAGUGCAAGCAUAUACAUGUCUUUAUUAUUGUUAUUGACUGAUAAAAAUGUUCGUUAUACUACGUAUUUUCCUAAUAAUCGAAAUUAAUGACAUUUUACUGAAAAGUCACGAAUAACAAAUCAUCCACGACUCACGAGUAGCAGAGCUCCAUCAUUAAAAUCGAAUUUUCCUCUAGUUGAUUUGUUAUCAUAACAAUAUUUCACUUUUUUCAUUUCUAUAACUGGAUUAAAAUAGUUAUGGAUGCCAGAGAUUUAUUGUAUUUUAGUUUAUAGAGGUAUUUAAAAUCCGAUAUUUGCUGUGAAAACAUGAAUCUGAUAAUAAAAAUGGAUAGGUUAGAUUAGAGGUUGACAUUUGUAAGUCCUAAAGACGUUGAUUCAUACACCAUGUUAUAAAAAAUGUCAUCCGCCUGGCUAAAUUUGGGGGAUCUGUUGGGGAGUAUAAAGUUGAAAAACUCUUUUUCUGAAACUACAUGAUUCAAUUUUUAUUGAAAUUUACUUAUCACUACAAUCCGCUUAUAAAACAAGUCCCACGUAUGAGCUCAUUAAUUGGUCUAGAGGAAGCUGCUAAUUAUCAAAAAGUAGUGGGAAAAAUUCUAAGAUUGAUUUUCAUUAAAAUUCAGUUAAAACAAGUUGUAAAUAAAAUAAUUCGGGUUUAUAUUAUAUUAUAGUCUUUGGUAAAAACUCAUUUGAUUUCACCCUGUGGGAAAACUAUUUUUAUUACCUAGGUACAAAGUCUUAUUGAAGAUAUUAAUUAGGGCUCGGAAUUUGUAGAACGUAAAUUUAGCACUUUAAUAAAAAAUGUCUGCCUACCCAAAUCGAAUGCCCUAAUACUUAUUACGAUUCCGUUAUUUGAAAUCAGCUCGAAUUUCGGUUUAUUUUUUUUUUAAAGAUCGUAUACGAUUUUUUACGAUAAUAUAUGAACAAGUUCAAUUUUCUACCAUUUAAAAUACCUACUUAAAGUAAAUAAUAUUAGAUUCUAGGUGAAAAUUUUUUUAGCUAUGAUGCUAUAAUAAAUUGCGGUGAUCGAUGGUUCCCAUUUUUGUCCUUAAACCAUAACUUGCUGUCUAUUAACUAGUAUAUAUAUAUAUAUUUAAAACACGAUCAUACCGUUGUAAUAGUUAUUUUUUUCUUAUUUGUUAAAACAAUAAAAAUUGAGCCAUCAUUAUAGAAAUAAUAUAAUAAUAUUAUUAUAGAAUAAUAGAAAUACCGUGAAAUUUAAUGUACGCGAAUUUGUAGGAUUUAUAAUUGAAUGCCUAUAAUAAAAUAGAUGAAAAUAAUAUACGAAUGUAGCAGUACCGCAGUUACCGAAUCAGAGAUUGAUAUACCCAGUUAUAAUAAUUUAUUAUUAUUUUUUAAAUAUUAUGACAUCAUAUAAUUAUAUAUUUAUACUACAAAAUUUUAAAGUCCAAAACAUAAUUAAAUUUAAUACAAAAAUUAUAAUUGUUAGUAUGUGUAUUGUGUGUAUUUUGUAAUUUAUAUGAUAAUAGUACUAUUACUGCAGUGCGUUGAUAUGAAUAACUUCAAAAUUAUUGUUAUUGUUUUCUAGUAAUCUAUAUAUAUAAAACAAAGGCGGGUUAGUUUCACCAUUUAUAACUCAAGAACGACUGGACCGAUUUUGACGAUCUUUGAUUUGUUGGAUUCGUCUCCAUUCCGAAAAGCAGAAUAACUAUUAAAAUAUCAGAAAGUUCAAGUUAAAAAAAUUCUAGGGGUUUUUAGGUAUAUUUGGUGCGAAUAUCUAAUUACUUAUUUAUUUAUUUUUGUUUGUUCAAGGAUUGCUAUGGAAAAGAAAACUAUUAUAAUUAUUAUUAUCACUAUUAUUUACACUAUUACCGUAGGACACAAAAAAAUAUUACUGAACUCCACUCAGAAUCGCUUUUAGUAAUAUAUCAUAUUAAGGUAAAAUAAUUAAAUAGGCACUAUAUAUUUUCUUUAAUAAUAUUUGUUUAAUACUGUACUCAUUUUCCCGUUUUUUCUACGUUUUUCUAUGUUUUUUCCCAGUUUUUCACAUUUGCUGGGAAAACUCUUGGGGAAAAUCGAAAAAUGGCCUCCAUAAAGUACUUUCUCAGUCAAAUUUUCUUUUAAGAAAAGUGCUAUCAUUGUAAAUCGAAGCAAAAUUGCUAGUAGAAAAGUUGUCCACAGAAAAAAAAAUUAUUUUAUUUCAUUUAUUAUUUCGAAAACUUUUCCAGGUUUUUCUCACUUUUCCAUUUUAUUGGGAAAACUAUCGAGAAAAUCAAAAAAAUGACUUCAUUAGAGUACUACCCCAAGAAAAUUCCCUUUCUGAAAAGGGUCUAUAUCGUAUACAUUGGAAUAAGCUUUAGAGAAAAAAAAGGGUUCACAUAACAAAAUAAAAUAAUAAUAAAUAUUUGUAUAUAAAACCAAUACAUUAUUCACUACAAUGAGAAUCUAAAAUAAAUGUUUACAUUAAAUUUUUUAAUGUUUGCUUCGCAUUGCUCCACGACCACAACUAUACUCUUAAAUUUAUAUAUUAUAUAGUAGAAAUUAUAGUACUUACCCCUGCCCGGUAAUCAGUUGUCCCAAGUUGCCUAUAAAUUAGUAUGAUAGGCUUACAUAUUACUUUGUUAGAUAUUAUGUAUUUCAUUUGUUAUAAAAUCACGGGAAUAUGGAAUAUGGUCACAGUUGUGAUACUAUCGAUUUUAUCAUUUAAUUGUUUAUUGUUGAUACAAUUUUAUUACCUGUUAAAAACAUUUAUAAUUUCAUAUUUGACUAAAAAAUAAAUUGCUGGUGACAAAGUUUACGGUUAAUAUCGAAUAUUUGUAUUAUAUUUUAAUCUUAAAAAUUAAAAAUCUAUGAAAUUAAAAAAAAAAUGAAUCGUUUAGAAAAUAUUUUUAGCGAUGACAUAAUUCGUUCGAGAAUAUAAAUUGUUAUAUAUAUAUGUAUAUAUGUAUAUAUAUAUAUAUAUAUACAUGAUAAAUGUCACGUUUUCAAAUGUAGAAUUUCGGUGAACGAUGGUUUUCAGUUUUAAAAACGAUGAAAAUGAGUAUAUAUGUAUGAUAAUAUACUUUCUAAGAAAUGAUUUAAUUUAUUGGCUGUUUCCCAAUGAAAAUUCUCCAUCAGAAAACAUUGGGGAAUGAUAUUAUAUUUGGCCAGUUCUCAGAGAAUAAAAAAAAUCAUUCGUUCGUUAAAUGUAAGUACAUGUAGCUUUCAAGUAGGUAACACCAUAAUUGACGAAAACAUUUAAAGAAAUAUUAACACAAAAAGUUCGUAUUUGGUAUAAUAAUUUAUACACAUAUUUGUACAAUAUUUAUAAAAAUUUCAGGUUCCUAUAUUAUAUGAUAUUAAUUAUGAUACUGCAUAUAAUAUUGCAAACCAUUAAUCAUUUAUAAUGUAUAAUGUUAAAUUUUAUAUCUCAUAACGUAAGCGGAAAAUAAAAUAUAUAACAUUGUAUUAUUGUGUGUGUCGUCUCGGGUCGAAAAUUGCUCUAUACAAGGUGUACCAGAAUCAAAUUCUACGGGAUGUUACUACUAUAUGUAGCACUCAGAAUAGAAUUUUGUUUAUAGUUAUAAUCACCGUUAUGUUUGACUUAUCAUGUCCGAAAUCGUAAUUUUGGUGUGACACAUGCAUAAGUGUGUACAUUUUACAGGGAUUUCAGUGAUAUCAAUGAUUUUUUAUUUAAAUGAUAAUUUGAUGAUUUUAUCAGCUAUCAGAAAAAUACGAAUAAUUUGAUAUGUGGUAAAAAAACAAUAAAUAAAUAAAUAAAAUGGUUUUUAUUAAAUAUUAUCGUUAGCUGUAAAUAAUAAUAGUUUAUAGCUAAUUAUAAUUAAUACAAAUCAUUUUAAUUUCAAAAUUGAAUGAAAAAAAAAUACCGAAAUUCAAGUCUAACCAGUGCGAACACUUGUUUUAGAAAUUUAAAUUUAAAUACAUAUCGUACAACGAUCGUAAUAAUUUUAUGUUUACCGCUGUAUAUGAAAUCAUGCAAUACAUUAUGUAAAUUAAAAAUAUAAUAAUCAUCGACAAAUUCACGGUUUUUUGUUAAUGUAUAAUUUUUUUUUUCAAUGGAUUCUGAUAGUUGUUGAUUAUACUAUUACAAUAUUUCUAUAACAAUAUAAUAAUUUAACCAGAGACGAGUGAAAUGGUAAAAUAUACUUAUAAUCUAUAAUAUAAAAUACAUACAAGUAUAUUUAAAAUUGUUAUUUGAAGUGACGUGAUGAAUCGAUUUUUAAUGGAAAUGUAUUUGAAAUAUAAAACACUAAAUGCUUAUGUGUUGUAUCAAUAAUCAAUAAUAAUAUUUAACAAUAUGUAAAAUAAAAAUAUAAAAUUAAUUUAGCUAAUUUUCUGGAAAAUUCUGAAUUUUGCUAAUAAAAUUAUUUCACAAUUUGCUGACCAGAAAUAAAGCUAUUUGCCAACAUGCUAUGUAGGUAAUAUACCUACAUAUAUAUAUAUAUAUAAUAAUAUAUAAGUUAAAAUUCAAAUAAUUAAUUAAAUGUUUUUUUUUUAUAUAUAUUUCGUUAAAAAAACAACAUUCAAAGUAUUGACAGAAUAUUAUAUUAAAAAUUAGUCAUUUAUUGACAUAAUAUUCAAAUUUUACAAUUUUUCAAGAAAUACAUUGGUUAUAUCUCUCAAAAAGAUUGAAAAUAAAUUUCAUGUUAAUAACUAAUGUUAUUGUGUUAGAUAUUAUUAUCUAUUUCUACAGCCAUUUAAUGAAAUAUUAUAAAACUCUCUAAGUGCUCAAGGGAUUUUUUUAUUUUUUUAGAACAUGCGUCCUUUUUACAUUUAACGAUUCGAAUACAAAAUAAAAUUUAAAAAUGUAUAAUAUUGCAUACAAAAAUAAAAAAAGAGAAAAUGUAAUGUUUGGAAUGCAUACUCGUUUUUCGGGAACGUGAAUUUAAUCGAACAAUAAUACAUUUUCACGUGAUAGCGAUAAGAUUAUCAGGAGUAAUAAAAUAUUAUAAAUCUGUUUCUAUACAUAAUAUAAUAUAAUAUACUACCUAUACGGUCUUAAAGUUUUAAAUCGACGUGAGUGUAAAAAUCGUUGUCAAUUAAUGUAUCGCUGUGAUUUAUUUCAAUACCGCGAUCGCACGUCAUCAUCGAUGGCUUAAUGCGGUCGAAAUAGUUCAAAUAUAGAUGGGUACCUAAGAGAGGUCUCUUAUGUAUACGUACAUAAUAUUAUGCCGUAUCGACGUGAAUUUAUAAUCAAAUCUACAGCCAGGUGAUUUAACAACGCCCGCGUUACACUUGACAUAUUUAAUAAGUAUUGCUACUGUUAUUAUAAUGUAUAAUAAUAUUUAUAUACAGAGUGGUGGUUUUUUUUUUUUAUAGCAAACUAGCGAUUUUCUAUGCACGAAGAUUCUGAAUAGGUAAAUUUGAUUUCGGUUUCUUUUUUUUCAAUCAUUAUAGAAUCGUUUAGUAGUCUUAUAAUAUAGGUAUAAUAUAGGUACGAUAUUUAAACAGUUUCGUACACUAUAAGCAUGGUAGGUAUAUCGAUAGUUUAUCUGAAUUUUAAAUUGUUGAAUCAUGUUAAAAUAAUUACUUUACGUGAUUUUAUGGAUGUUUUUCGAUCUAAAUUUAAUUGUGUAUCCAAAAAUUUGAUUUAUUAUUAAAUUUAAUGUUAGGUAUGUAUUAGUGUCAACAUGGACGUAUUUUUCAAUGUCGUCCUAUGCAUUUUUUUUUACAAUUUUUUGUGUUUUAAAUUGAACGUGAUAAAAAUAUGUAUAAUUGAUUUUGUUGAAUUAUCUCUAAAAUAGAGAUUAUUAUACUGUAUUGUGUCUGUUAUAUAUUAUAUUAGUUGUCUCGCCUGACGUUGCUCGUACCUAAAGAAAUAAUAGACAAAUUAUCAUCCGUAUCAUCAAGGUAACCCAUAAAUCAACAAAAAAAAUUACAAUUUUGUACUAAAAAUACUUAUAGCCCUAUGUCACCCCUUCCCCCUUUAGGGCUUGAAUACGGGAGAAAAAAGCAGUUAAAUAACUUACAUAACUUAUGUAUAAUAAGGAAUAAGUUAUUACUGAUCUAGAACAUCUAUGCAAAAUUUAGUUCAAAAUCCGUUCAGUAGUAUGAGUAAGAAGUGAUAACAAAUAUAAAUCUAAACAAACUUUCACAUUUAUAAUGUAAGUAGAAUAUACGAAUAUACACACAUAUGCAUUAUACAAGUGAUAAAUUUGACGUGAAAUGUUCAUUAGUCUUUCAGAUCGCUGCCAUACAGCUAAUUUAUCAUUCCUAUCUAAACUUAUAUCUGGUCAUGUUGACUCUCCUACCCUACUAGCUAGUAUCAAUUUUAUAGUCCCGUCCCGUCAACUAAGAAAUUCUACUCCUUUUUACUUGCCUCUCUCCGCCACUAACUAUUUAUCUUAUUUUAUUCUUCUCUUCGCCAUUAAAUACGUUUAGUCGAUGAAGACCCUAACUUUGAGUACUGACCAUUAUUUAAAUAAUAUUCAACUUUUGCACCUGUUGUAGAAUAUUGUUUUUAUUGCUUGUACUUACUAUGUUUUGAUUAACCAACCCGUUUUAUAAUUUAAUAAAAUAAAACAUCAAACAUUAAACUUAAACAAGAUAUUCUGGUCAACAAGUUGAUGGAAAUCAAAAAUGUGAACCCCAAAAUGUAUUUAAACUAAUACUUCUAUCAAUCUACUCGUAUGUAUAUUUUUAAUAUAUGUUACCAUUUGAAAAUCAAAAGUAAGUAGUUGUUUUACCCCCAAAAAAUAAUGGUAAUGUAACAUUUUAAAGAUGCUUAUUUCUUAAAUUUUCCAAAAAAUUUUUUUCGAAAAUUAAUACUUUGUGAAUAAUGUGUAUUUUACGUUAAAUUAAUCACUCUAUAUAUAUCCUAUACCUAAAUAAUUAUAUAUUAUCUUUUUUUCCGCUACUUUUGGACAUUGCCAGCGGCUGCCUGUUAAAACAAUGAGCCCAAAUUCAGGAAUUGUUGCUUUAUAGACAAUUUGAAGUGAAUGUUUGGUUCAAUUUUAGUAUGAAUUUAACUAUAGUGUUACAGGAAUAGUGUGUUUAGUUUUAUAUAACUCUACAGACCCCCGGAAUUGAGAUUAGGGGAUACAAUUUUGUAUAUGCAUGCAGUUAGUAUCAAUUACUAUCAAGAAUGUGUCUAUUUAAAUUUUCAAUUCUACCCCUACCGUUUUAAUGAGUCAAUCCAGUAACGAUCAUGAUGUAUUCGUUUACUGUGAUCUCUGUGAAUAUCGAAACGAAAAUGUGUAGGCAAUCACACCACGUUCUUUACCAAUAACUUAUGUUCAAAUAAACAGGUGUAGACAAUGAAAAUUAUUUGCAUCUACAAAUUUUAAAAUUUAACACUGAUCCACGCAUCUCCUCUCACGUGACUUAUAAUAUUAAUUUAACGUCUGAAGUACCACUGAAAACGUCACAACUAAACUAUAAUUAAAUAUGUGUUUUAAACUGUAUUGAUGAAUAAUGAUUAUAAAAACUAUUGGACUUUUAUUAAUAAUUUAUCGUUAAAAUCAAAUUACGAAAAAAAAAACGAAUUAUAGAAGACUGUCAAUUUCUCAAAAGUCUUGAUUAUAUAUAAUCGAUCAUUUUUUAAAUACCUUUAUACGAUAUACCUAACAUAUUAUUCCACUUUAUAUUUAUGUAAACGCUUAUCCAAAAUAAAUAUCGUAUUAGAGCCAAACACUUUUUUAAAUACGUCGUAUAUAGUAUUAACUAUUGGUAUAAAAUAUAAAUAAAUAACCUUAAGGAUCAAUGGACAUGAAAAUGUAUAUUUAGUCUCAAGUCUUAUUAGUUAUUACUUAAUAAUAAUGUUUGCAAACAAAUUUAGAUUAAAUAAUAGACAUAGGGGUAUCAUAUGUCUUAAGCUUAUGGUGUUGAUGAAAUCCCAGUCGAGUUACUAAAAUACACAGAUGUACAUAUUAGAAAUUAAUUAUACAAACCCUGUAAUGAAAUAUAUCUAUAGGGAAAAACUAUUAAUGAUUUCGAGAAGAUUAUUGUGGUAGUAUUGAUUCUAAAAAAGAAAGGAACAUAAAAAUAUGAAGAAUACAGAACACUAAACCUCAUCACACAUGCUUCCAAAAUCAUCAUCAAAAUAAUAACAAAAUAACAGAAUUGAUAAAACAAUAGAGGAAAAUCUUGUAAUGAAAUACCGACUAAAAUACUGCACUACGCGCUGUACUGCCACAUUAAUAAUACUCCACUUCUCUCUUUUAACCAAAAAUUAAAAGUGGAUUACCUCAUCAACUGAUUAGCAGAAAUCAAAAAUGUCAAUACUAAAAUUAAUUUUAAAUAAUACUCUAUUUAUGAACUUUUAAUAUAGGUUGCAAUUUGAAAAUCAAAAAUAAGUAGUGAUUUUACUCCCAAAAAUAAAGUUAAAAAAAAAAUAACAUAACUAUAUAUAAAAUUGUAGAGCUACUUAUUUCUUAAAUAUUCUAGAAAACAAAUCCCAAAAAAAGUUAACUUUUCGAGAUAAUGAGUGUACUAACUUAAAUGGAUCACUUGGUGUGUAUAUUAAUUUUUUUUUGCAUAGAACGAAGCAAAUUAAAACUAAUCGAUAAACUCGACUAAUCGAUGAGUGUAGAGAAAUUAAUUGAUAAUAACCUGCACUUAAACAGUUAAACAAUGAGUAGAUCAUUAGGUAUACCUAGUUUUAACUAUACAUUUAUUGUAGAGUUUCCCUUUGCAAGACAAGAACAUAUUUUCCUUUCCCAUUACCUCAAAUUAUCUCCUAAAUUCUCCUUUUAUUUGAAUUACUUGCUAAUAAGAACCGUCGCUUUUUAAAUAUCAGUAUGUAUUAAUUAAUUUUGGUUAGAAUUAUUUAUAACUUCAUUCUUGUAUUUUUAGGCAUCGGGUAUGGUUAUAAAACAAAACUUGAAUAAACUUUAUAUCAAAAUUCUGAUAUUAAAAUAAUUUUAGAAAUGCGGAAAUAUUAAAUGUAUCUGUCCAUUCGCAUUUUUUUAUUUCUAGGGAAAAACAAAAAUACAAAUAAUCAAUAUUGACAGUUAUAAUUAAUCUAUAUAAAUCUGAUAUGUUUCAGCUCGCAGUUAACACCAAUACCGAAUAUAUUUAAGUAAGCUAUAUUGUAUACGUUAUAAAACAUAAUAAGUAAAUAGCUAAUAUUGUUUUUAUGAAUCAUUAUCAAAAUUAAAACAAAUAUUUAUUUCAAAAUUAUUUUCCGUAUUUGAAUAAAUAUUAAAUAAAGACAAUAAUGUCAAUCAAUAUCAAUAAUCGUUAUUCAUUAAUUGGGUGUAUUUUUUUGUUAUUUAUUAGCUCUAGAUUUUGAGCAAGGCUAGGAAUUUAUGUAUUUUCUCAUAAAAGAUUUAAAAGAUAUUUCAAUAAAUCUCACGGGGUAUAAUUCAAAAUUAAUGUUCAAAAUACUUUUUUACGUUUAAUUAGUUUCAAUAUUCAGUUUUGAAUAUAUUGGUAUUUACAUUUCAACUACAUUUGUUAAUUCAUAACUAAAUCUCGGGACUUAUUGUACUUAAAAUCCACAAAAAACGCUUAAAAACGUGUAAAAAGUACUAAAAUAUAAAAACUGGUAAAAGUGCUUAAAAGUCCUCUUUCUAAAGGUUAGGUUACUUAUCCUAGGAAAUACCGUGAUAUUCAGCUAGUAUACAUAUAAAUAUUUGCACUAAAAAUGUCACAGUCAUUUAAUUUAUUUAAUAAAAAUCAAUUAUAACGCUUUUAUUAUAUGUUUCAUACAUACUAUGAAUAUAUGACAUAAUUAUAUUAAUAAUUUCGCUUUGUGUGGUGUAUUAUACCUACGAGAUUAUAUUUGCGUAUUGUGUGUCGGUGCAGAUGCAAAAAGAAACACUGUUUUAAUCGGUUCGCGUCAUCACCACAGGUUAAUGUGUAUUUUAUGCAUAAUAUAAUAUCAUAUUAUACAAAACAUGUGAAUUUCAUUUUAAAAACACGUGGUCAAUCGCGUGGCACUUACAGAUGGCAUAUAUUCAUAUUACAUAUGUACAUAAACGGAUUAAAUAUACUGGUCAAAAUUCCGGGAGAAUUGGUAAUAAUAAGAAAACCAAACAUAAUACUUUUGCAGUUUAUAAUGAUUUGUGUUCAUUUAAUUAGUACACAAUAAACUAAUUUUCCCAUCCGAUGUUACACUUGCCAAUUUGAUCACGUCUCCUUUUUAUAUUUUACCAUUUAAAAGCAGUAUUUAAAAAAAAAUCCUUUCAUAAGUUGAAAUCAAUAAAAUAAAUUCAACUUAUAGCCUGUGUCCUUCCAUAUCAUUCUUGCUCCUAUUAUGUAACCGUUAUUUCAUCCCACCUAUUACUUUAUCUUUUAAAAAGGGUACUCAAUUUUGCCAAAAUAGCUCCGAAAAAAUUCCAUUAUUGUUCCAAAAAUAUCAAUAAACCGGUGUCACACUAAAGUCGCCCAUUUGAAGUUGAGUUUCGAAAAUGCACACAGGACACAUCCAUCCUCUUUCUUAUGUACAUUUUCAGAUUAAUGCAUGCGAUAAAUCAGACUGUGGCUCACAGACACUUCCUUUUGUUAUGAUAGAUAGAUAGAUAAAAUUUUGUUUGACAAUUUAAUUUUUACAAAAUAUUUUAUUAUAUUAAUAAUAUGUAUACUAUUGUUUCAUUGGCGAAUUCUUAUCACUUUUUUACAUGAAUUAGUGUUAUUAUACUUCAACGGUUUCAUUUUAACUAUGUAUUUUUGUUUCACAAAUACAUUUUGAGUGAUCUUCAUAAAAAAAAAUCUUUUGUCGUCUAAAAAAAAAAAAAAACCGUGCACGUCAUUCGGUACGCACGGGAAGCCUUACGAAUUAUUUUUGUAGAUUGUCAAAUAACAAGUAUGUUAAUUGUAUAGUUUUACGCCAGGGAUAGCGGACCUUUCUUUUUGUUAAAUAGUAACUUUGUUCAAAUUUUAUUUGCUCCUCGUAUCAACCAAUUCAAUAAAAAAUGAGAGAAGUUUAUUUUUUUUUGCAAUUUCUUGUACCUAAAAAAUUUAGAAUGGAAUUGAAUACCAAAGACAAGCUAAUAAUGUAAUUCUCAAAUUGUUCAUACAAAUCUAAACUACAAAUAUGGCUUUUUUAUAUAUUUUUAAAAAUAUGAAAUUUAAACUUCAAGUACCUAUACCAAACAAUUUUUAAAAUUAAACCUGGAUAUGUAAACACAAUGAAAAAAUAAAAUAAACAAAUUUUCUACCAGAAAUCUUGUUUCAACAAAACUUUAUAGGAACUUCGUUGUAGCAUUUUUUAUUUAGCUGGUACAUUGGGAGAUAAUUUUCCUUGUAGUUUUAAUACAUGCGAAAAACUGGAAAUCUUUUGUUUAUAUUUUUUUAAUUUUGGAUUACUUUGGCAACAAGGGAAAUAAUACUACUAAUCAUACUGUGCUCAGAAUCAUUUUUCAUUAGAAAUGGUUUAUCGUUGCGUACAGAUACACAAAUUAAACUAUUUUACAUAAUCUUACACCUUUUCAUGUUCUCUCCUAAAAUAAUGGCACACAAAUCGGCAGUAUCAGCUUUAUUUUAAAUAUUAUUUUUACGAGGAAUGAUAUUUUUUUAGACAGUUUGCUAGUCUCAGUAAAAUAGAGUGCCAUCUCUGGUAUACGUAUGUCAUAUAGUCAUACAAGUAGUUAAGUCGAUAGAACAGUUAUUAUUGUAAAACUUGCAUUUUCUGAUGAUAUAAUUACUAAUUACAGUAUAGAUUUUAUGCAUUUAUUAUAGAUAACCAUUGGUAUUAUGUAUUGUGUUUCAACUAAACCAGACGAACGUUACACCUAACAAUAAUUGCUACAAUUUAGUACAGGUACAGCUGUUAUAUCUGAAAAUAAAUUUGAAUAGUUGAUUAAUGUCGUGACGAGGUCCUCUAAGAAAAGUUGGCCCUUUGACAGGAUAUAAUAUGGCCUCCUUUCUAAAAAAUAGCCGUGCGCGAAGCCGUAGGUACUAAAGCGCGACCUAAUCAAAUGCAUUGACGACAAUAUACAUAUAAUAAUUGGAGAUUAUUGGUGUCCUUGGUUUUAAUAUAAAAUUCAGAUCUAGACAAGAAAACUAUUGUAGUGUUAUAGUUUCGUAUAAUAUUGGUGAGUGCUCUUUAUUUAUUUUUUAUUCGGAAACUGUAAAACAUGUCAAAGAAUUUUGUAAACCAGGUGAAACCAUGUGAAAAAUCAAAUAAAGUCCAGCACCAACAUUAUGUUUAGUUCCUAUAACUCUAACUCCGCUAUAUUUUCUCAAACACAAUAAUAUAUCUUUUUUAUUAAGUACGUUGUACGUAUUAAAAAAUAUAUAGUAACUGUAAUUAUAUUCCAAAUUUUUAGAUUUUUGUUACUUAUUAAGGUCAUUUUGAUUUUUUUUCUACGGUAGAUAUAAUUAAUCUAUUUUUUUAAAAGAAUGUAUCCGUGGAUUUAAUAAUUUCUAUAAUAUAAGAUUACAAAUGCACUUAAAAAUGUAUAAUGCAUAAAAUGUACUUCGCAAUCAAUAAUGUUAUUGUAUGUAGCUAACUUCUACAGAGUGAACAAUAUUUUAAUUAUAAAGUCAAAUUGCCCUUUAAGAAAGUCUACAUCCAUUGCUUACAUGUAUUUUGUUUGUAUAUAGUUUUAUAAUGAGUUAUAGUCUAUUUUUAUAAACGUUCGUGAUGUAUUUUUGGAUUGGCAAACGAAGUGUUGCGAUUCAUUGUCGUUGGAAUAUACAUUAUAUACAUUAGGUAUAUAGUGUAUUGUAUAUCAUUAAAUGAGAUUGUGUGUAUAGGUAUCUAAACCUCGUGUGAAUCGCUGCAGUUCAAUCAAAUACGAAUAUUUAUCGAAGUAUCUACAUCCGAAGAGGGGGGGGGGCGGCUGUCAGUGGCGUUAUUGGAAAUUUUCUCUAAAAGAAAUAUGUAUGCUUUAAUAAAAUAAAUUGUUUAUUACAUUAAAUAAAUAUAUGACACACCAAAGGUUGUUUUUAAAUAGUUUCUAUAAAGGCCAACUAUUUUUUCACCAACUUUAGCAUAAAGAGUACUAUAUUUACAAAAAAACUCCAGAUUUCUCUUCUGAGUUAGCUAUAAUAAAUUGAAUUUCAAAAGCCUUUGAGGAGGAUAUUUAUUACAGAUACUAGAAUUAGUUUUACUGGUACUGAGGAUGGGUUCGCUGUUGUUAAAGAUUAGAAGUUAGGAAAGUGAGAUAUUUAAAAUAUAUGUCAAUCACGACGUAUAAAAGACGUAAUCAAAGAUACACUAUUUCUCUUUGUGUGCUGUGAUGCCCAACGUAACUUACAAUGCCAUUCGUGAGAAACUUAUGAAAUUUACAAAUAACUGUCCUUAGAACUAUAAUAAACAUUUAAUUUACGAUAAAAAAAUAUUGUGGUCAUUAAUCGAGCUUAAUCUAUCCUAUAUUUUAAGUUGGACCAAAUCAUAAACAUUGAGCAUUAUAUCUUAUCAAACUCGGUUAAGUAGUUUCAGAGUGCAUCACACGUAAACUCGUCGUACGCGUGAUUUUUAUAUACCUAUGUAAGAGAGAUAUCCUCCCUUUUAUCUUCCGUCCUAAAACAGUGACACACCUAUCGGAAAUAUUAGCCUUUUUUUUAUAUACUAUUAUAUCAAACUGAUAAUAAAUUACAAAAUACGAAUAAGGUCAUAAGAUCAUCAUAUGAAUUAUAAUAGGCAAUCCCGUGCAAUAUAUUAUAUAUACUUUUCACAAUAGCUGUGUAGUGAUUCUGUUAUGAAAACAUCAUGUCUACGAAUUCACGUACCUAACAUAUAACACCCGUUAAUAAUGGCGUGGCUUUCAUGUAUCAUAUUAAACAUUUAUCACGGAUUUAGCAGCGUGUUUUAAUCAUGGAAUGAAUGAUACAUAAAGUUCACGAGUCCUUAUAAUAUUAUUCCGCUGAUAUAGUUUUUUAAUAUCGAUCGGUAAUCUUUAAUAUUUACCUAUUUAUUUUUUUUAUCGCUGACUACUUGUUAAUAGACCCUCGUGUUUACAUUGACUGUUUAAUGUUUACAUUAUGAACCGUCUAAUAAAAUAUAAUUUAUUAAUAUUGAUUUAUUUAUUGAUACGCGUGUUUAUUAAUUACUAUAAUACUCUUGGUUAUAUACUUGGAGCCAGUGUAGGGACGUCAAAAGUUUUAAAAUGGGCCGAGGGUAGAGAAGUUUAAUUUAAUUUGAUGGGACAAUGGGGAUGCUUGUGGAUUCGGGAAUGCCCUUAUUUUAAAUACCUAAACGAUUUUAAUUGCAAAUUUAUAUUCUUUGUAGUGCGAAAGUGGGAGUUAUUUUGAAAAUUUAACUGUUGUCACACCCCUUUCCUGUUCACAUUUAAUAAAGUCAGUACUGGUGUAUAUUUCUGAAAAAAUUCGAUUACCUUUUAGACGCGUAUUUAUUAUUACGUUUAAACAAAGAUUGUGUAUUCUAAUCUUUAUGGUUGGACAUGUUGUCACUAUAUAAUUACAUAUUUACAGACUUAAUUAUGGGAUAUUUAUUGGAUAAGUACCUUUUUCUAUACAUUAAAAUUAAUGCCUCACCUCGAUAAUAAUGUUACCGAUAGAUAAAACAAACGUUUCACUGAGCUGACAUUGAGUGAUUUAAAAUAAGUAUACAAUAAACAUGCUUUUAUUCGGUAUAGGCAUAUAGAUAGGUACCUAAAAUACCUUAUAUACUCUAUAUGUUUGAUCGAAAAAAAGUAAUUGGAUUGACGUCAUGCAUUAUUAUUAUUAUUACCGUUAUUAAAGAUCAAAGACCAUAUUCAUAUUAUUAUGGUGUACAUAUAUAAUAAUAAUAUUCAAAUAAUAUAUAUUUUAAAUAAAUAAUUUUUUUACUUUUUAUCGGUGUUCUUCUACUUUACAAUGAACAAUGUGUAUAUUUAUUGUUUACUUACACAAAUACUUUUAGACUUAAUAAGUAAAGAGACUCGUAAAUUAUUUUUUUAGAGUCUGAGUGAAUUGAAGAAACUUAUAGUUUUACAAAGAUGUUUAUUUUUUUUUUCUGUGGACAACUUUUGUAUUAAAAGACUUGCUCUGAUUUUUACGUGUAGCGCCUUUUCUGAAAGUAAAUCGGUGUGGGGAGGUACUUUAAGAAGGUUAUUUUUCGAUUUUAUCAACUUUUUUCUCAUCAAUUGAAAAAAAUCGAGAAAAAAAAAUGGGAAAAUGUACGAAAUAUAUUUGUAUAAUAUUACGAUUUUUUUUUUCUGUGAACAACUUUUCUACCAGCAAUUUUGCUCCGACUUAUAAUAAUAGCAAUUUUUUUGGAAGGAAAUUUCACUAUGGAGAUACCUACUUUAGAGAGGUCAUUUUUGAUUUACCCCGGAGUUUUCUCAACAAAUGUGAAAAACCGAAAAGAAACGGAAGAAAACCGGGAAAAUAAACAAUUCCUUUAUCACACAUUCGCACUUCAUAGGUACUAAUUAGUCACAGCUUGAAAACCCAUAAUAGCAUAACGAUAUGACUAUGUAAAAUUAUUAUUUUCUAUACUUAUUAACUAACUAUACUGCAGACAAAUUCAUCUAAUUUUAUAUUAUUUUUAGAUUCGGAAGGGGAUUUAUUAGUUUUACUAUGAUGUGCGCUUUUUUUUCUGUCUGUAAACAACUUUUCGAAAAGAAAUCUAGCUCCGAUAUAUAGAGUAUAAAACCUUUCCUGAAAGGAAAUUUUGUCUAGUUGGUGCAUUAAAUGGUUCGUUUUUUAAUUUUUACUAUGUUUUCGAAAUAAUUGGGAAUAGCCCGUAAGAAAUGUUUAGGUAAAACGGGAUAUAUUUACAGCGUUCACCGAUUUCAUUGUUUUUUAAUUUUUUCAACUUAUGUUUUAUCCCAGGAUUAUUGCUCUGUCGAAAAAUGACAAGAGGUCGACUUUAUUUCUUUUAACACAAAGCCAUUAUCAUAUUUUUGAAAUCUAAAGUAAUUUUCAUAAUUGAGAAACUGAAAAGAAAAAAACGUAAAAUGAAAACUGAUGAAUGUAUAUGCGUUACGAUCUCAUUAUUUUUAAUUUUUACGCUUUCUGUUUUCUAUCAGAAAUAUUGUAUUAAUAGGAAAAAAAUAUAACAUAUUUUUUGCUGAAUUUUUAAUCUAGUUGGUGACCAAGAAGGUCGGCUUUUGAUGUUCUCGUUAGUUUUUUAAUAAUGAACCAAAACCGAAAAACACGUAGAAAGAACGGGACAAUAUUUACGAAAAUAGUUUAUUAUUUUGAAUUUUGGUUUUGUAAUAUAAUUCAGCUAAAGAUAUUCGCAGUAACUUGAAAUUUUACAAAUACUUUUAUUUGCUUUUUCAAAACAUGCUAAAAUGUUUAAAACAUAUGAGCCAUUUUUGAGCUAUUCAUAGACAUUUUAAUUUUGCUAGUGUUCCACAUGAUUUUUAUGUAGUAUGUACUCUGUAGAUAAAAUUAUUAGACUAAACAGGAAUAAUUGAAAAAUUGACAAGAGGUUCAUUGUAUAUCGUGCUUAGUAGUAAAAAUAUUGAGCAAUAUUUUUGGUAGAAAACAUACUGUGUAAAAAUUAAAAAUAAUAAAAUCGUAACGCUGUAAAUUUUUUAUUUUUCAUUUUAUGCUUCUUUCUGAUUUUUUCCAUUUAUUUAAAAAUAAAACAAAACUAAAUAUAUACUCGUAAGUAGGUAUUCAUUUUCACACUUUACUUAAAAUACUAUACCUUAUAAUUUAGGUUAGGUUUUGCAUUUCAUAAGGUAUCAUUUUCAAAAAGCUGUCUUAGGAUAAUGGGGAUAGGUGCAGCCACGGUUAUAGGUAAUUUAAUAUAUAUCUGUAAGCAACGACUAACCAUUACUAAAAAAAAAAACGUUGCUUAGCAGAGUUCAGUUGAUAAUGUAGUUACUUUCUCAACAUAGGCAAUAUAUAUGUUCUUUAAAAAUAUUUGUUCAAUAUUGUACCUAUUUCCCCAUUUUUCCUACAUUUUUCCCGAAUAUCCCAUUUAUUAAGAAAACUAGUGAUAAAAUCAAAAAAUGAUCUCUUAAAGUACCUCCCCAGUCGGAUUUUCUUUUAGAAAAAUGUCUAUCAUUAUCAAUUGGAGCAAAAAUGUUGGUAGAAAAGUUGUUCACAGAAAAAAAAAUUGUAACAUUUUCGCAAUAUCUUUUGUGCAUUUUUCCUAAGUGUUUUUUUGGUUUUUCACAUCUGAUGAGAAAACUCCUGUGAAAAUCGAAAAAUUACCUUCCUAAAGUACCUCGCCACAUCGAUUUUGUUUCAGAAACGGUACUACACUUAAAAAUCCGAGGAAAAUUUCUGAUAGAAAAGUUGUUCACAGAUAAAAAAAAAAUAAACAUCUUUAUAAAACCAUAAGUUUCUUCGCUCCAUUCAGAAUCCAAAAUUUAAAAUAAAUAAUAUUGAACAACCGGGCUAACCUAAAAUAUUUUUAGAAGUAUGACAAAGUGAGGUUGAAACCUAAUCUGCUAGUAAUGGUCUUCCUUGCAGGUUUGGUCUCAAAUAUUUUCUACAAACUUAAUUUCUUAAAUCUGUCAGGUAUUAUUAAACGGAAAUUUACCAAUGUGUACACGGUGUACUUUUGGAAAAUUUAUAGAAGUAAUCAAAUCUGUAAAAGGUGUAAUCCAAAUUCAAGAGUCAUGCUAAAAAUACAAUAUUUAUGAGAUAUUUUUCUGGAACACUGUGUACAUACCUUAAUAUACGUUUAAGUAUAAAUUCAAAAUCAUCCGAUUAAUUAUAGGUAUAUAAUAAAUUGUGUAAAUUAACCUGCGUCACAGAUUAUGAAAAAUGCAUUUUUAUCUUCGACAGCAGUAUGUUUAUGGUAUUAAUAAUGUAAGUAAAUUAGGUUAUCGCUUAAUUUACAAUAGGUCAAAAGAAAAAAAAAUCACGAUCAAAUAAAAUAUAUAAGAUUACCUAUCGUAUAUGAAAAAUAAAAUUAUUACAUGAUUAACGAAGUAAUAUAAAAUAACAAUUAUGAACUAAAUUAAAAUUUUGUUUAAGUAUAAAUAAUACUCUGUAUGUGCAUACAAAAUUUCAAUUUAAUUUAUUGUAUACAAAUAUUUGAACACGCCACACAGGUAUUUAAAAUUGAAUAAUAAGUAAAACAAAAUUGUUCUAUUAUAAUAUGCAGUUAUACCUUAGUUUUUCUUUAUCUAGUUUUUUUUUAUUAGUUAUUCAGGAUUUAGAUAAACUAAUAAAUUAAAAUCAAACAAUUUUUUUAAUUUUUAAGUUAUUUUUUAUAGUACAAUUUAAAAUUCGUGUUAUUUUGUUGAAUUUGGAUAAGUUUAAUACACACUUAUUAUAUUUCACCAACUUAAUGAAUACUCAAAUUCCUUGACCAGAUAGAUUGAAUCAGAGAACCGAGACUUUUUUUACAGGCCUAGUGGUAUCCCUGUUCGUAUUUUUCCUCAUUAUUUCGAAUAUUAAUGAGAAUUUCCAAAAAUGAUCUCUUUAAAGUACCACUUAGAGAAUAUUUCCUUUCAGAAAAGGUACUUAAUAAUCUUAGUAAUCGGAUUAAGCUUUCUGGUAGAAAAAAGUGUUCACAUAAAAAAAAAAAAAACAUUUUUGUAAAACCAAUAUAUCAUUCGCUAAACUCAGAAUCUAAAACAACUUUGUAUCAGAACUAUACUGUGAUUGUUUUUUUAUAUUGAUACUACAUUAUAAUAACACGGCAGCAUUUGUCUACUAUAUACAUUAUAUAAUGCGCAUUAACGCACUCGACCGUUUCAUUUUUAAUUACGAUGAUUAAUGUCACUUGAUUUUUUUUUUCUCAUAUGAAGCACGUUAUUUUUGACGUACUCGAAUUGUAACGAUACAAUAUAUCGGAUAUAUCCCUAUACACGCAAUUCGCAAUGGCAUUUUAUGUAUAAACAAGAGCAUUAAACCCGCAUGGCUGUGUGCAGACAGCAGAGCUGCAAAAAUAAUUCGACCGCUUCGCCGUCCUAAUUAUUUUAAUUGACGGUUGAAUUAUCAUCAAUUAAUUUCCACGUAUAAUUGCUUCCCAAGGCCCAAAAGUUGUGUUCACGACCUUCGACCUCUGUGUGUCACACAUGUAAUAUCACACUGUGAUGUCAAUAUUUAAAUUCUUAAUUGGUUAGUAAAAAAAAAGGAAAUUAAUUUAGUUUUUAAUUCUACGCAUUAUUACAAUAUCUAUUCCGAUAGCCGAAAACAAAUUCAAAAUUCGUAUACACACAUAUUAUAUUAUAAUCCGUAGGUAUGAUCUUAAUUUAUCUGUAAUGACACACGGAUAGCAUCGGUGUUAUUCCUUUCUAAAUAAGAAAUCUUUAAUGACUUCACUGAUGAUAUAACGUUAAAAGUUGGUUGAGAUGUUGUGAUAGAUUUGCUAUGAUUGCUUUUCAUGCCGUCCAUUCCGAUAACAUUUAUGUUAAUUAAUACUCGAUAACAUCUGUAGUAGUUCACAACAUGCACACUCCGAAAAUCAUGUUCCUUUAAUUGUGCAUAUGGUGCUAACACAUAUGAUAACUUGUAUAGCAUCCCGCUGAUGCUAUUUUACUUUCCGGUUUUUAUCUUCAAACCAAAUGUGAUUUAAUUUUCAGAAUUUAGCGAUGAAAAAAUAAUUGAACGAGCUAUAUAAUUAACUAAUGCAUCAGAAAACUAAUAAAAAUAAUUAUUUCAGGGCUCAGGGGUAUCAGUACGAGAUGGACGAGCUAGCACAACCAUGUUGAUCGAAAUAACAUACUUUUCUGAAAAAUAAUUGUUUUUUUUGCCACGAGACUCUACAUUAUUGCAAGUUGUUACAUAUUAUAAUCUAGUGAUGAAUGCAAUAGGUAACUUCAUUGAUUCGCAUACUGAUUUAACGUGAGAAAUCGACAAUAGAAAAUUUAAUUUGAAAACCGUAGAUAAUUAAAAUGUAUGACAAAC